AAAGUCGUAACAAGGUUUCCGUAGGUGAACCUGCGGAAGGAUCAUUAAAGGUAUCCGCCAGUGCUUUUUUUAAAAAGCUUGGCGAUCCAAGAUCAACCACUGUGAGCACUUAAUGAAAAUAUUUUUUGCUUUUGGUAGGCUUCCUCUUCUUUUUUUUGAGGUUGGGGGAAAGUCCUACCAAGAGUAUACCAAAAUAAUCACCCUUGUAAUUUUGACUGAAAUUUUUUUAAUAAAAUUUUUAUACAACUUUCAACAACGGAUCUCUUGGCUCUC
rnacentral:misc_RNA from 1 species